rnacentral:lncRNA from 1 species
GCUGUGUUUAUACAUUCGUGUGACGCACUGUUAAUAACUGUAUUGUGGUAUAAAUGGGAGGUGUCCGUUGUGUGAUUAACAUGUUGAAUUAAACUCUUAUAUUAUUUAUUUAUGUAUGUCCCUAUACUGAGUGUUCUUUCGUUUAGUAAUAAUAGAUUCAUGUCGCGUAAUGUUGUCAUUUUGGCGAUAUUUUAAAAUUGUCAUAUAAGUGGGAGGUUCGACAAACCAUAAAAUCAAGUUCAACCCACCAUUAUCUUCUUACAUUGUCAUGUACCAAGUCAAAAUUUGAUAGUUGCUAUCACAUACUCUAUUUCUUUGUAUAUUGUCGUUUAUGUUUGUAGCAGUCUGUUGUUUUCCUUCAAUAGUUGAUGUGUUUCUUCGGUUUUGCUUUGUGACACGGUUUUGUUUCAGCUUAAUCGAUUUAUUACUAUUGAACAGCGAUAUGCUACUGAUGCCUUUAUUUACAUCUGUGGUUGCACUCUUUGUUACAGGUGCCACAUACAUAUGUAUGACACAAAAAAACAAAGAAUUGAGCGUUGUUAUGAUAUUCAAAAUAUUUUUUGUCCUUUUUAAAAAUUGGUUGAAAUGUCUCAUCCCUUCUCAAAAUAUCUUCACAAACCUUUAAGACUGUUAGAUGUAUACUUAACAACAUGUACACUGUUAUGCUCGCGGUGCUAUUUUCUGCGAGUUGGAUAGAAAAGCACAUUGACGAACAUCAUUCUAGGAAAUAAGCUCAUCAUAGAUACCAGGAUUCAAAUUUUGUAUUAACGCAAGACGCGCGUUUUGUCUACAAAAGACUCAUUAGUGACGCUCGAAUUAAAAAAAGUUAAAAGGCCAAAUAAAGUACGAAGUUGAAGAGCAUUGAGGACCAAAAAUUCCUAAAAGUUUUUCAAAAUACAGCUAAGGUAAUCUAUUCCUGAGGUAGAAAAGCUUUAGUAUUUCAAAAAAAAAAAAAAAAAAUAUAACAGUUAAUUUAUAAUUAUGAACAUAUCAAUGAUAACUCAAGUCAACACCGAAGUGUUGACUACUGGGCUGG